UACAGAGGGUGCAAGCGUUAAUCGGAAUUACUGGGCGUAAAGCGUGCGUAGGCGGUUGUUUAAGUUGGAUGUGAAAUCCCCGGGCUUAACCUGGGAACUGCAUUCAAGACUGGAUAACUAGAGUCUGGGAGAGGGUGGUGGAAUUUCCGGUGUAGCGGUGAAAUGCGUAGAUAUCGGAAGGAACAUCAGUGGCGAAGGCGACUGCCUGGCCCAAGACUGACGCUGAGGCACGAAAGCGUGGGUAGCAAACAGG
rnacentral:rRNA from 1 species